UACGGGGGGAGCAAGCGUUGUUCGGAUUUACUGGGCGUAAAGGGCGCGUAGGCGGCGCAACAAGUCACUUGUGAAAUCUCCGGGCUUAACCCGGAGCGGCCAAGUGAUACUGUCGUGCUAGAGUGCGGAAGGGGCUGCUGGAAUUCUCGGUGUAGCGGUGAAAUGCGUAGAUAUCAUUUGGAACGCCAAUGGUGAAAACAGGUAGCUGGGGAUGUGCUGACGCUGAGACACGAAAGCCAGGGGAGCGAACGGG
rnacentral:rRNA from 1 species